rnacentral:rRNA from 1 species
GGAUUAGAUACCCUGGUAGUCCACGCCGUAAACGAUGAGUACUAGAUAGUAUGGGUAUUGACCCCUGUGCUGUCGUAGCUAACGCGUUAAGUACUCCGCCUGGGAAGUACGGCCGCAAGGCUAAAACUCAAAGGAAUUGACGGGGACCCGCACAAGCGGUGGAGCAUGUGGUUUAAUUCGAAGCAACGCGCAGAACCUUACCUAGACUUGACAUUGAUGGAAUCUGCUAGAGAUAGCGGAGUGCCCUUCGGGGCCCUGAAAACAGGUGCUGCAUGGCUGUCGUCAGCUCGUGCCG